GACAGAGGAUGCAAGCGUUAUCCGGAAUGAUUGGGCGUAAAGCGUCUGUAGGUGGCUUUUAAGUCCGCCGUCAAAUCCCAGGGCUCAACCCUGGACAGGCGGUGGAAACUACCAAGCUGGAGUACGGUAGGGGCAGAGGGAAUUUCCGGUGGAGCGGUGAAAGUGCGUGAGAGUAUACGAAACAUUGGAACCGACCAAAGGUGGAAAACAUC
rnacentral:rRNA from 1 species